rnacentral:tRNA from 4 species
GGGCCCAUAGCUCAGUUGGGAGAGCGCUUGAAUGGCAUUCAAGAGGUCAGGAGUUCGAAUCUCCUUGGGUCCA